UCCUGGUUGCCAUGGAUGUGCUCAUGUUACCUGUGACAUCACAGAAAGUCCAGUCUGACUGACACACUUACACACACUCCUGGGUGUUCAGCUAUAUAAGCCCGUCUGCGGUGCUGUUCCUUGGAUGACGCAGCAUACGGCACACGUGACAGGAAGAAUGGCAGAGCCCGUGGACGGCGCCCGGCGCUGGCUGGCGGUACUGCCCAUGUCACUUCCGUCAGACGUCACCGUUAGUGCGGCGGAGUCCCGGACCGGCGUGCGGCAGCGGGCAGGUGAACGCGGGAUCUUGUAUUAUUCACUGGCUGACAACAGAAGAAUUCAACACCUCGAACUACAGUGAUGAACUAAUCACAUAUGGGGAACAAGCAUUUAGUAACAAUAAACUUAUGAGAAAAGUAA